AGUGAACGCUGGCGGUAGGCCUAACACAUGCAAGUCGAACGGCAGCACAGUAAGAGCUUGCUCUUACGGGUGGCGAGUGGCGGACGGGUGAGGAAUACAUCGGAAUCUACUUUUUCGUGGGGAAUAACGUAGGGAAACUUACGCUAUUACCGCAUACGACCUACGGGUGAAAGCAGGGGAUCUUCGGACCUUGCGCGAUUGAAUGAGCCGAUGUCGGAUUAGCUAGUUGGCGGGGUAAAGGCCCACCAAGGCGACGAUCCGUAGCUGGUCUGAGAGGAUGAUCAGCCACACUGGAACUGAGACACGGUCCAGACUCCUACGGGAGGCAGCAGUGGGGAAUAUUGGACAAUGGGCGCAAGCCUGAUCCAGCCAUACCGCGUGGGUGAAGAAGGCCUUCGGGUUGUAAAGCCCUUUUGUUGGGAAAGAAAAGCAGCAGGUUAAUACCCCGCUGUUCUGACGGUACCCAAAGAAUAAGCACCGGCUAACUUCGUG
rnacentral:rRNA from 1 species